rnacentral:sRNA from 1 species
GGAACAACAUGCUCCCAAAAUGAAGUUUUAAAGGCUUCUGGGUUGUAUGGCAGAUUUGUAGCCUCAUGUGGCUUCACCCCGGAUGUGAAGGUUUGGGAAGUCUGCUUUGGAAAGAAGGGGGAGUUCCAGGAGGUGGUGCGAGCCUUCGAACUAAAGGGCCACUCUGCGGCUGUGCACUCGUUUGCUUUCUCCAACGACUCGCGGAGGAUGGCUUCUGUCUCCAAGGAUGGUACAUGGAAACUGUGGGACACAAAUGUGGAAUACAAGAAGCAGCAGGACCCCUACUUGCUGAAGACAGGCCGCUUUGAAGAGGCGGCGGGCGCCGCGCCGUGCCGCCUGGCCCUCUCCCCCAAUGCCCAGGUCUUGGCCUUGGCCAGUGGCAGUAGUAUUCAUCUCUACAAUACCCGGCGGGGCGAGAAGGAGGAGUGCUUUGAGCGGGUCCAUGGCGAGUGUAUCGCCAACUUGUCCUUUGACAUCACUGGCCGCUUUCUGGCCUCCUGUGGAGACCGAGCGGUGCGGCUCUUUCACAACACUCCUGGCCACCGGGCCAUGGUGGAGGAGAUGCAGGGCCACCUGAAGCGGGCCUCCAACGACAGCACCCGCCAGAGGCUGCAGCAGCAGCUGACCCAGGCCCAAGAGACCCUGAAGAGCCUGGGUGCCCUGAAGAAGUGACUCUGGGAGGGCCCGGCGCAGAGGAUUGAGGAGGAG